rnacentral:rRNA from 1 species
AACGAACGUUAGCGGCGCGCUUAACACAUGCAAGUCGCACGAGAAAGGGCUUCGGCCCCGGUAAAGUGGCGCACGGGUGAGUAACACGUGGAUAAUCUUCCCUCGGGCGGGGGAUAACCUUCCGAAAGGAGGGCUAAUACCGCAUAAGACCACGACUCCGAAAGGAGAUGAGGUCAAAGCCGGCCUCUAUUCAUAAGCUGGCACCUGAGGAUGAGUCCGCGGCCCAUCAGCUAGUUGGCAGGGUAAUGGCCUACCAAGGCGAAGACGGGUAGCUGGUCUGAGAGGAUGAUCGGCCACACUGGAACUGAGACACGGUCCAGACUCCUACGGGAGGCAGCAGUGGGGAAUCUUGCGCAAUGGGCGAAAGCCUGACGCAGCGACGCCGCGUGAGUGAUGAAGG